rnacentral:lncRNA from 1 species
CCCCAGUUAUAUUACUGAGCUGCAUUUCUUUUGAUUUUUUUUAGUUGAGAGGACAGAGGAAUGGCCAUAACGACCAUGUCUGACUCCAGCAGGCUUACAGAGGUGUCUACACUGGCUUAUCUGGACGAAGGGACCUCAACGUCAGACACAGAGUGUGGAGAGGAGCCUGAUCUCCAGCCAAGAGCUCUGGAGGAACCAGAAGACACUGGAAUAUCAGACAUCGUGUCGAGGGCUGAGGAAUAUCAAACGUAUGGCUUUACAAGUUUAGAAGACAACAACAUCCAGUCGUGCAUCAGCAACAGGUCAGAUGUGUCAUUCCCUUCAAGUGAGAGAGAGAAGAAAUCUACAGCUUGCUGCCUCAGAAAACAUCACAGGAAACACGGAACAGAGAUUAAAGACACGAGGAAAACGAGGGGGACGUGUAGACAAGACAGAGCAAGAACAAGAAGAAAUGCUCCAUUACUUUCUGACCAGAAGACCAGCGGCUCCUCAAGAUGCUCCAAACCAAGCACUGAAGAUCAAGACAAGUUCUCCUCGACACCUCAACCUCAGCAGGUCACUCCGGAUCUCCAUCUGUGGGAUUGUCCUCAAGAUGUUUCCCGUAUACGCCUUCAAAAGCUGGAGGUCGACUUCCCUUCGACCUUUGAGUCUCACAGUUUGAUAUCUGACGGUGUGGAACCAAACUUUGACUCUGAGUUUGCAUAUAUCUAUGCUGAGAGCAUCAAGGGAUGUGACUCUACUUGUUGCACGACUCCAGGAGACUGUAAUACCCACAAUCCUCUUGUCAAAACUGAUACAAGCCCUGAAAGAGACCCUGAAUCUGUCUGGAACAGCUUUGAGGAAGAAUCGGAAGACUCGGAUUGUGAUUUAUAUAUGUUUGCUUGCAGUUUAGCAGCUACUGCAGGUUCCAGGUUGAACGCUGACUGCUUUGGGUCUUUACUAGAUGAUUUUGACUCGACUUGUAUUUAUACAGACUGGGAAAGGACAGAAACCGAGCAGGGUUACAGUCCAGCCGAAGCGGAGUGGUCCUCUGAGAGUUCAUGUUCCCCCGCCGACUGUGACUCUUACUGUACCACAGACAGACAAACCAGCAGCUCAGAUUCAGACAGCUGCCGUUUAGAGGCUCUCGGUGACAUCAAAUGUCCUGAAGUGUUUUUGCCGGGAUUUGAAGGUUGCUUUGACUGCUGUGAUGCAGCUGAAGAUGUCUGCAGAGACACAGAGAGCGAUCCUGAGUCUUUUUGCUCCAGACGGGAUACAGCUGAACUGUGCGGUGUUGUGACUCAAAUGGACCGACGGCAUUUCUCUGAGUUUUUCUGUGAGAUGAUUAAAGAAGUGACGCAGGAGAAAAUGAAUGUAAAUGAGGG